UGAGCUUUGAGGGUGAGGAAGUUCCUGAACGAAGGUAUCAUCAUAUACUAGAUUGGCAUUUAGCAAUAGAGGUCAAUAACACUGAGCUGCAAGUUUAGUGGCGCUAUUGUUGUUGUUGGAGAUGAUAUGUCAUCUGGAUGGGCUGAUUCUGAGUGGAGAUCCUUAAAGGUUCAAUGUGAUGAACCUUCGUCAAUCUGCCUCCAGAUAGAGUAUCACCAUGGGAAAUAGAACCAUUUGUUGCAACUGCUCCUUCAAACCCCCAACCUGUGCAAAGGAAAUCACCAGAUCUGUCCGCACUUGGUAAGUGGAAACCCCCAACUGAGUCUCCUGCUU
rnacentral:misc_RNA from 1 species